rnacentral:rRNA from 1 species
UACAGGGGGGGCAAGCGUUGUUCGGAAUUACUGGGCGUAAAGGGUCUGUAGGUGGCCAACUAAGUCAGACGUGAAAUCCCUCAGCUUAACUGGGGAACUGCGUCUGAUACUGGAUGGCUUGAGUGUGGGAGAGGAAUGCGGAAUUCCAGGUGUAGCGGUGAAAUGCGUAGAUAUCUGGAGGAACACCGGUGGCGAAGGCGGCAUUCUGGACCAUAACUGACACUGAGAGACGAAAGCCAGGGGAGCAACGGG